CAGUCGCCGCGGUAAUACGAAGGGGGCUAGCGUUGUUCGGAAUUACUGGGCGUAAAGGGCGCGUAGGCGGCCAUUCAAGUUAGAUGUGAAAGCCCUGGGCUCAACCUAGGAAUUGCAUUUGAUACUGUUUGGCUUGAGUUCGGGAGAGGUGAGUGGAAUUCCCAGUGUAGAGGUGAAAUUCGUAGAUAUUGGGAAGAACACCAGUGGCGAAGGCGGCUCACUGGACCGACACUGACGCUGAGGCGCGAAAGCGUGGGGAGCAAACAGGAUUAGAGACCCCCGUAGUCCCUGUCUCUUAUAC
rnacentral:rRNA from 1 species